rnacentral:lncRNA from 1 species
UCAAUAUAGCUUUAAUUUCAAUAGAACUUAAAGCAUAGCACAAUCUAGGUUUUAGUGUUGUCAUUAUAAUAGUUUUUAACAAUGCAAAUUACAGAGUCCAGAUCAUAAAAGGUUAAAAAUAUGUGUAUUUUCAGGUCUUGAAUAAUAUUGCCCAGUUAACAAAGGAAAUGUGUCAUGUAUAUGUACAAACUGAAUAAUUUGCAGUAAAUCGAAAUGUUGAACUAAUUAUUUUAACUGAACAUUGGUAUUAAUUUCUCUUCAUUGUUCACUUUAGGUGAAUUGACUUCAGAAACUUAAGGGCAAACCUGUUGCCAUAUUCCUAAGUCAGCAAUGCCUAACCAUGACCAGCAAGGUGAGGAGCAGUUCACACAUCCCCUGGCAGAGCCCCGUCAGCAUGUGCUGCCGGAGCUUCCUGCUGAAGGUGACACUCAGCAAGUGCUGCCUUUCAGAAUUUGGAAAUUCAACCAGUGCAGACGAAGAUGUAGG